CCUACGGGAGGCAGCAGUAGGGAAUAUUGGGCAAUGGACGCAAGUCUGACCCAGCCAUGCCGCGUGCAGGAAGAAGGCGUUAUGCGUUGUAAACUGCUUUUAUACAGGAAGAAACGACUCUUGCGAGAGGCAUUGACGGUACUGUAUGAAUAAGCACCGGCUAACUCCGUGCCAGCAGCCGCGGUAAUACGGAGGGUGCAAGCGUUGUCCGGAUUUAUUGGGUUUAAAGGGUGCGCAGGUGGCUUAUUAAGUCAGUGGUGAGAGACGGUCGCUCAACGAUUGCAGUGCCAGUUGAAACUGGUAGACUUGAGUAAAGUAGAGGUGGGCGGAAUUGAUAGUGUAGCGGUGAAAUGCAUAGAUAUUAUCAAGAACUCCAAUUGCGAAGGCAGCUCACUUGGCUUUUACUGACACUCAUGCACGAAAGUGUGGGUAUCAAACAGGAUUAGAUACCCUGGUAGUCCACACUGUAAACGAUGAUAACUAGGUGUCGGCCGAAUCUGGUCGGUGCCACAGCGAAAGCGUUAAGUUAUCCACCUGGGGAGUACGCCGGCAACGGUGAAACGUCAAAGGAAUUGACGG
rnacentral:rRNA from 1 species